rnacentral:lncRNA from 1 species
UAGGAACUCUGGAGGCUCUUGAGAGAGGCCCUUUUGAAACAAUCUCUGGCUGGAAGACUCUUUGAGGAAGGACGCUGGCCUGGUGUCACUAAAAUCCUUGUUUAGUCAGACCUUGUGGUGUUGGGGAUCAACGAAGCCUCCUUGAAUAUGUGUCAUGAAUUCUGGGACCCAAUCUCCUAACCCAUGCUUAGACUGGAAGGCUGGAUCACUAGAGGAUGGCUGGAUAUUUCUCCCCACAGGAUUCUAAAGUCUUAUUCCAGUGCCUUAAAGAAGUUUAAUAGCAAGGAAGACAGUAUGAUGUAUUGGAAAGUAUGCUGCAUCAUGACAGGCAACCUGAGUUCAAAUACCACUUUGGAUACUUAUCAGGAGUGCUCCCAGGAGGGAUGGUCAUGGAACCAAUCUGAUCAGAGGAUCUUUCCAUCUUAGAAAAAUGAAGCUAAUGGAUUGAACUCCCUUCCCAGCUUCCUGUGAAAAAGAAAACCAGAAUCGACAUUUGGCAAGUAAUUUGAUGUCUUGGGAAUAGUUUGGGGGCAUUU